UUCACUCUAAGACAGUUUUGGUUUCAAUGGGCCGGCCACAGUGGAGCAGUAAACAAGACUACACACAAGCAACUGCAAAUGCUGGCUAACAACAGAAAAACAUCUCUGGAGAACAUGGACAGGAGCUAAAGGAUCGGCUUCGGUUUUCCUGGCAAUUUGAUGGAAGUUUAGCACAUCUAAAGUCAGACAAUGAGGCAAUAUCCCUGAAUGCCACGAAGACAAGAGAGCAUGGUGAAGGGGAAGAAACCAGCUGUCCUUAUCUGGUCUGGUGUGAACAUGAUUUCAGAUUCACAGCAACGUGCUUGAUGCAUGACACUCUGAAAUAGCCUAGCAAACCAUUUAGCUGUAUCAAAACUGUAGAGUUAAACAGACGAAAAAAUAAUGGACCUCCAGGCAUUGGUUAAGCUGCCAAAAUUCAGUCACAGCAAGAUGAUUCCUGCCAAGAAGGCCUUGCAAAAUCCUUCUAACAAGCAUCCUAUGACUGGUAUCAAAAUAUAGAGCCUUACUACAGCCUGAUCAAGCAGCAGCCCAGUGAUUUGCGGAAUCACCCUAUUCAGUCAAUGCUACAGUCCUCAAACAUAUCCCCGAGUGAAUCCUGUUGGAGAGAUCUACCAUGAGAGGGAUGAGAGUGAGAGAUACUCUCACUAGGAGGCCUAAACAGCAACUCUGGAUCGUUUGAGGUUUCCUGGCAUUCGGCCAACAAACCCACCAAUUAUCAUCCUGCUGAUGAGUCAGCGAUAAUCCAGGUCCUUCUACACUUAGAAGAAGCAUCAAGACACGCAAGAGAACCAUUUCAUCCAUUUUAAAAUUGGCAUCUUCACUAGAAAGCUACAUGGGUAGUUUUGUAAUUUUUUUCAUUGGCAUUGUAAUAACUCCAGUUUUGAGGAGGAAAAAAAAACAAUUAAGGACCUUGAGCUAUACUUUGAAGUCCCUAUGUAUAACAUUUAUUCAGAAGUUUAAUACUGGUUCUGGGUACACAAUAAAAAUACUUUUCACUUCACGGUGUUAAUAUUCCCACUUUGACAAACUCAAAGAGUGAAAGAUAGAAAAACACGGAAAAAUU